rnacentral:lncRNA from 1 species
CGCGCCCUCGCGCGCCGCAGCAUCCCCGCGCCGCGGGCCGAGCCGGGCCUCCGCCGCCCUCCGAGCCGGGCCUCCGCUGCCGCCGCCGCCGCCGCCAUUCCUGCGCCCGCGCUCCCGGCCGGGCCCCGCCGGCUCUCCGCCGCCAGGACGCGCCGCGCCAGGAAAAUGGAAACCGCGGCUGCUCUCUCCUCCGUGGGAAGCGAUAGAAGCGAGCAAGCGCGUGGUGGAAACUCGCACUUUCUGAAAUAACUGUGCUUUGACUCGGAGGGGAAACAGGAAGCCCUUCUAUCUGUUUAGGUGAGUUUUUAUCUCUGCCGGUGGGGCCUGUCCUUUUAAGUUAUGUUUCUGCAAAAGUACUGGUUGAAUCUCUAGUGUGAACAGGAAGUCAGAUAUGCUGACUAACUUUUCCUUUAUUUUAACGGCGUUUUUUAUUGUUUUGAAAACGAAGGCAGAAAGCAGAGAGGCCGAAGCUGCCGCCUUGAGCCCUGGGGGCCUACCGUCCAUGCUGUGUUUCUCAGGGCUUGUCCAUUCCCUUUCACACACCCAGAUGCACGUGCGUGGACACUCACACAGGACAUUCAUAUAGACGGCG